AAUAAUAUGAACGGAUGCCUUCAUAUAAGUCCGAUAAUAUGGUUCGGAUGUUUCUACUAAGUUACCUUAAACAACUUAUCUAUGACGGCAGGUAGGCGUGUA
rnacentral:ncRNA from 2 species